AUUGAACGCUGGCGGCAUGCUUUACACAUGCAAGUCGAACGGUAACAGGGUGCUUGCACCGCUGACGAGUGGCAAACGGGUGAGUAAUGCGUCGGAACGUGCCGAGUAGUGGGGGAUAACGCAGCGAAAGUUGUGCUAAUACCGCAUACGUACUGAGGUAGAAAGUGGGGGACCUUCGGGCCUCACGCUAUUCGAGUGGCCGACGUCUGAUUAGCUAGUAGGUGAGGUAAAGGCUCACCUAGGCGACGAUCAGUAGCGGGUCUGAGAGGAUGAUCCGCCACACUGGGACUGAGACACGGCCCAGACUCCUACGGGAGGCAGCAGUGGGGAAUUUUGGACAAUGGGCGAAAGCCUGAUCCAGCCAUGCCGCGUGUCUGAAGAAGGCCUUCGGGUUGUAAAGGACUUUUGUCAGGGAGGAAAUCCCUAGUGCUAAUAACACUGGGGGAUGACAGUACCUGAAGAAUAAGCACCGGCUAACUACGUGCCAGCAGCCGCCGCGGUAA
rnacentral:rRNA from 1 species